UUUCCGGUUGAUCCCGCCAGAGGUCAUUGCUAUUGGGGUCCGAUUUAGCCAUGCUAGUUGCACGAGUUCAGACUCGUGGCGAAAAGCUCAGUAACACGUGGCCAAACUACCCUACAGAGAACGAUAACCUCGGGAAACUGAGGCUAAUAGUUCAUACGGGAGUCAUGCUGGAAUGCCGACUCCCCGAAACGCUCAGGCGCUGUAGGAUGUGGCUGCGGCCAAUUAGGUAGACGGUGGGGCAACGGCCCACCGUGCCGAUAAUCGGUACGGGUUGUGAGAGCAAGAGCCCGGAGACGGAACCUGAGACAAGAUUCCGGGCCCUACGGGGCGCAGCAGGCGCGAAACCUUUACACUGCACGAAAGUGCGAUAAGGGGACCCCAAGUGCGAGGGCAUAUACUCCUCGCUUUUCUCGACUGUAAGGCGGUCGAGGAAUAAGAGCUGGGCAAGACCGGUGCCAGCCGCCGCGGUAAUACCGGCAGCUCAAGUGAUGACCGAUAUUAUUGGGCCUAAAGCGUCCGUAGCCGGCCACGAAGGUUCAUCGGGAAAUCCGCCAGCUCAACUGGCGGGCGUCCGGUGAAAACCACGUGGCUUGGGACCGGAAGGCUCGAGGGGUACGUCCGGGGUAGGAGUGAAAUCCUGUAAUCCUGGACGGACCACCGAUGGCGAAAGCACCUCGAGAAGACGGAUCCGACGGUGAGGGACGAAAGCUAGGGUCUCGAACCGGAUUAGAUACCCGGGUAGUCCUAGCUGUAAACGAUGCUCGCUAGGUGUGACACAGGCUACGAGCCUGUGUUGUGCCGUAGGGAAGCCGAGAAGCGAGCCGCCUGGGAAGUACGUCCGCAAGGAUGAAACUUAAAGGAAUUGGCGGGGGAGCACUACA
rnacentral:rRNA from 1 species